AUUGAGGGGGAAAAAAAAAAAAAAAAAGACAAAUCAAUAGCAGUGAAACAGAGACAUAACCAUUUCACAUCGAGCGCUCCCAAUACCAAGCCAAGACACCAGAACUCCCCGCUGCGGACCACGGCUUCCCCCUUCCAAACACGCAUGUUCCUGCCACGGCAAGUGAAGCCCAGGUGACAGCGAAACACCCAGGACUGACAGGGCGGGGAGGAGGAUGGAGCACCUGGAAGUACAAAAGGUCCUGGCAAAGUAGAGCAUCAGUUUAAGAAGGGGAGUAAAGAAAAUUUCCUAUAAAAUCAAGAAUGUUUCUUACGGAGACUCCUGGUCCAGCCUCUGAGCUGCUUCUCCAACAUAUGAAGUAUUUCUUGGUCUUUCAUCCGCACUGAGAAGAUUUCAUUGUAAUGUUAAGAAGGUAGCAGUAACCUUGGACAGCUCUAUUUCUGUCCCAUUUUCUAAGGACACAAGAUUUAGUUAAGGCUGGGCUAUUACUCCGAAACCUGCAGUAACAGGAUUGUUACACAGCCACAGUGGUGUGUAAUCUACUCUGCACAGGAUUAAAGGGAAAAUCUGCAUCAGCCCUUUCUCCCAGAUCAGGAGAACUACUUUGUGAGUCACAUGGAGAGCUGGCACAGCAGUAAACAUAAAGGUAAGUUUUAGCUGGGUACACUGGCACAUGCACUGGGACAUGUGUCUCUGCUUGACUCCAUUUACCUGUCCCUCAUUAACAGCACUUGAUUCCAACUUGCAAUUCUACUGAAUAUUCUGCUGAAGGCUAAAAAUCUCACAGGAAGUGUAUUUAUGUGAGUUUUAAAAAAAUGGCCAGGUUGGCUGAAGAGAAACCUCUGAUUACCUCUGAGACUACCUCUGAGCAGAAAUUCAAGGACUGACAGCAUCAGAGACCUACAACCUUAUUAGACUCAUGAGCCUAAUAACGUCUCCUGAGCCAGAAUGCCAAAUUCCCUUCCUCAUGAAGGAGGGAAUUGCACUUGGUGGCUGAACAGCAGCCUUGGAGGACAGAGGCAAAAGGCUGUAACACCUUCUUAAAUCUGUAUCUCACGGACUGUAGCAAACAUGAAGAUUUUUAGUGAAUGCAGUCCUGGUAGCUACCUGUCUCCACCAGGAGAGGUGCAGAGGGUGGCAGAAGCAUAAAGUGAGUUCUACAGAGGAUUAACCACUUCUCUGGAAAAGAGAUGAUGGGGUUAAAAAACACAGCAGACAAAUUUCCAGGUGGAAAAUUAAUGGAAGGCUUUUAAACCAAAGGAGCACCUGGAAAUAUCAGAGUUGCAGAUUGCUGGAUACUUGGAAAGUAUUCCCUGAAAAUAUUACAUUCUUGCUUUGCUUACCCUUAUGUUCUUUUCCAGUUACUUCUCAGAUGUGCUUGGUCCCCACACUGGCUCCCACAGCUCCUUGGUGUGGCCACUGUCACAUCCUGCAGUGAGCUGGGGGCAUGGGAAGACAGCCUUACAGUGGACAAAGAGCAGCUGCCUGGUCCCCUAUGUUUCUUGGCAGAAGCUUUGUCAUUCCUGUUUGCUGUCAUCCCAGUUUACUGUCACCCAUAAUCAGGGAUACAGUAUUCAUUGUCAUACUGUAAUCAGGGAUAAAAUAUGUAAGGAUAGAGAUCUCCUUGUUGUUUCUAGUCACUGAAUCAUAAUCAGCGUUCAGAAAUUGCUCACACAUUUUUUUCCACCCUAAUGUGGCUUUUUAUAGCAUAUUCCAUACAACUGAUGUAAAUCAAUGCACGUUCUGCUUGUGUAUGGAUCCUUGAAUGCCAGGCAAACCCUCAGAUGUCCAACUUACCCACCUCCUGCUAGUGGAAGGGCACUUUAUCAACCCACUACCAUGGGAGAAAUCAGCAGGCACUUGGAACAUUUUCAAGCUCUUCAUUCAAGCAUGCUUCCCAUGGCUGAGACGCCCCGGUCGCUUCCCUCGCCUCUUCGGUAGCAAAGCUUCAUUGCUUGUUUUCAGAUCAGCCCAGCUUGUUUUGAAAAGCCUGACCCUACAUUUCCCCCACCAGCUAGAGGCAAUGUCCCCUGCUAGGACAGGUUGUCACAUAUCCAAGAUCUUGAAUGUCUGUUCCUGUUCUUGCCCUUUUUUUCCUACUUUUCCCUGUUUUUCCUUGAUUUAAACUCAAAGAAAAACCUCAGGGAGAGUUUAUGAAGGAAAAAAAUUCUACUGUUUUUGGGGGGUGAUUGGUUUUUCUUCAUGUUUUCAUAUUAUAGUUUUGAAAAAGGGAACAACACACACAGUUUAAAAAUUACUCUUUCCUCAGUAUAACUUUGUUUCCAGAGCCAUCAAAGGAUCCUUAGAGUAAACAAGGUAUGUGUGUGUGGGUAUUAUUCUAUAUUUUUCAUCUUCUGUCGGGUAAAACUGCAUGUGCCUUUGAAGGAUAAAGUUAAAUAUUUACCCUAGGUCAACCAUCCCUGUCUGUAGAGUUUAUAUUUUGUUGGAGUUUGGGCAAGCAAGUGGUAUUUACAAAAUUCUUUGCCUGCCUCUGCUAUUAGAAAAUGCAUUUACAGACGAUGAAUUUUUUCCUACUCAGAAUAUUUUUGAUCAGGUGUGAGCACUUACCCAGCCUGGAGAAAUGCUGAAUCAACAUGUGACACUGUGGUAGGAUUGUGUUUAGGACUGCGUUAUUUCAGUUGCUGGCCAGGAACCUAAAUGAAGCAGGACCAGAGCAAUAUUCUAUAGUUCUGUCAUCAGAGGAGGCCAGGGGGGUUCUUUCUGUGGUUUCAGAUGUCUUGAAAUGUGGCUUGUUCUGGUAAAUCCAGGUACCUAUGCAUGGGUGGCUGGUCCUGCAUCCAGCUUGCAAUGAGGUGAGCAGGCCAGAGGCAUUGGGAAGAGCCGAGGAACACAUCUCAUGUUCCUCCCAGAUGCAGGCAGAGAGGAUUCCUGCAACGGGGCUGGAGUCGGUCCAAAUUGCUUGGCAUCCCAGGCCCAACAAAAUCUUCUUGCCAAACUAAAGUCUGCAUACCAAGAAAGUGCUCUAGGCCUUCCUGCCUCAGCUCAUGUGCUGUGGCUCUUCUGAGGACUUAAUUUUUCUCAGUAGAAAACAAGAUCUCUCCCAUGUGCUCUUCGUGAAUCCUCCUCAGAAAAAGGCCACAUUGUAAUAUAGCCCCUUAGGACACUGCAGGCUGCCCAGCACAUCUCCUUUGGGAAGUUUGGGAGCACCUUUAUUCAGGCUUCUCUUGAAAACCACGGCUAUAAAAUACAACCCCUUCCUGCCCUCUUCCCUUUCAUCUUGUUCCCUCCUCCCCACCAUGCCUUUGAGGCAUCAGUCUUCAAACUACUUCAAAUCAAAGCAGUUGCAGGAGAUGACUGAUGGAUGAUUUAUCUGGAAUCCUGCUGAUGUUUCUCUUGGGUCUCCCAAGAACAGAGAGCAAACAGCAGCCAGACCCAAGGAAAAAGCUGCAGAUGACCUUGCCAGUCUUGGGAAGAGGGAAAUAGCAGCAGGAAGAUGGGGAAAGCGGAGGUGGCACAAUGAGUGUUCUCUGCACUCCUGCUGCUAUGCAGGUUUGUAGGAAAUGUGGCCUGAGGGCUACUCUAACCUGUGCCAGCUGCUGAGACUUGUGUGUAUCAGGCAUGAGACUCGGGGAGCUGCAAACAGCUCUUUGAAGGCCUUCCUCUCCUCCCCUAGCAAAGAAAUUAAAAUCUAAUUUCUUCCAGUCUUUGUGCUGACCUUUUGCAGGUGUGAAAAACAAUCACCUCUGUUUCCUAGGGGCAUUAGAAUCCUACAUUUUCAGUGUGUUAUUAUAAGCAUCCAUCUGCACUGAUGUGCAGAUGAAACAUAGAAGAGAAGGACCUGGUUCUCUUACAGCCAUUAAGAUUUUUUCAUUCCUUCCACUGAGGCCAGCAUUGCAAAUACCUAUCAUCAAAAACUGGUAUCAAAUUGAAUUUGACUCGAAAACAGCAUGACAUGUUCCUUCUGGGCCAGUGGUGAAAACUAUAUUGGCUGUUUUUUCACUGAAAGCAAAAGGAUUAAAAAAAAAUUUAAAAUUAACUGGAUUUUUUUUCUCGUUGUUUUGUUGUUGCUGUUGCCUGUUCAUGAUCCCUCUGCUGAUUUCUGGAGGAAGCACUCUAACCCUAUGCAGAUGAAAGCCAUUUAAGCCAAAAAAAGAAUCUUCAGGUUCCAAUAGGGAAAGUCAAAAUCCCUAAUUUAGAAGCACCAGCAGGGUGGACAUUGGAAACAUGCAGAUUCACUCACUGGAAAGCUCCCAAGAUCUACAAGCGCUGAAAUGAAAACAUGACACAAUGGCUCAGUCAACAAUUACUACUGAAUAAGCCAGCGGGCUUCAGGGUUAAUCACUGCAGCCAUCCAUGAACUCUCACAGGGUGGAAAACCAGUUAGCUUUGCCUACAACAUCUUUGGGAUCAUGUCCAUUUGUAUGGUGGGAAGUUCAUGUGGUCUGUUGUCUUCUCAUUGGAAAAAGCAUUGUCAUCUGGAGAUAUGUCAAGAGAGGAAGGAUAACUGUUUGGAUCAAACAAUCAAGAGAGGAAAAAAAGGAAGGGGAAAUGAGGGGGAAUUCUAAUGGUGUCAUUGAUGAGGAAGCUUGACACCAGCAUCCCUAUGUCAAAGUGUUGUUCUGGAAGGGUUGGCUAUCACCAAACAGCCUCAGCACGGGUUCAAGAACUUUCAGUAGGAUCUAGUUCUGGAGGUGUGCUCACUGCUCUGAGCAAGGUCAGUCCCACAAGGACAUGGGGGGAUACUCCAAGAGAAGAGGAGUCCACUGUCAAAUGGUGGAAAAGGUUCUGUGUUGGUUCUUGCACUGGUCUCAUACAUGUGCUGCUAUCAAUGAGUUUUCUGAUUUAAUACAUUCUUCCUGUUCACACUUUCCUGAAUUUCUCCCCUUGCUUUCAGUUUGCACAAGGGAACAGCAUUUGUUGUUUGGUUUUAGAAUAUUUUCUCAACUGAAACAAGGAAUAGAUUUCCAUAUUUUUAUAUUUAUUUUAUAAUUUUCUGUUGUCAUUUAUUUUCUGCUUUUCUCUUUCCCUUUUCAUGGAUAAAUUGAAAGAAAAAAGGUGAGAUCAGGAGAGAAUGGCAGGGAAAAAUACAAGGAAAAAAUGAAGUGUGACAUUUUCACAAAGAAUUUUCUGAAAAUAUUAAUUAAAACCAUUUUAGAAAUGCUUCUGAUGGAAGAAGAAACAAUUACAUCAGACAGUAGCUUGUUUAUUAUUCACAAACCUAUUUGCAGAAAAAAAAAUCAAACCUGAUUUUAAAAGAUCGACAUUGUUUUUUGUCCCUUUUGAGGUUUGUGGAACUAUAUGCAUUUAAAAGUGUUUGCAGACACUUGUUUCCCUGUU